UACUAGCUAUGUCAUUAUAACGAAGAAAAAUCCACUCCUCUCAACAAAAAAAAGUAUUUUACAACUCAAGGGCCAACGUUACUGCCGAAUGAACAAAGGGACUUAAACGGCCUGGAGGAGACGAGAACUGGAGCUCAUGGAACAAACAUUUGAUAACUAUCAAAUCAACUAGUAGUACUAGCUUCACUGACUUCUUCUACAUGCCAGACCAAGCUACCCCGGAAGGAGAGCCAAGAUGGAAGCUAAGCUAACCCAGCUAGGACCUAAGGCCAAUCCACUACCCAGCCUCCUCCUGGCUGUCUGAUGUGCAGUCACAGAAAAAUAAGAUGGACGAAAUAAGACAUCAGGCGAACCCAGCAGCCGGAGUUUGGUGACUGUUGAGCCUGCAUAUUUACAGAGACCUGGCACCAUUGUGCCAUUCCGUAUUAAGCUGCAGUUGAAAGGGGGAGUGCAGGACUCCAGUGGGACGAGAGGAGGUGGACUCUAUAUUUACAUCAUGAGGCUUGGUGCUCAAGUUGAUGUACAAUAGUAAUGAGAAAGGCCCAAUGAUCCUGAUGUGGAAUUGUUUAAGAUAUUAGCCAUAUUAUCUGCCAGAAUUGUUUUUGUUGCUGCGGUUUACAUUACUUAUGAUGCAAAUUAAAAACGUGCUCUACAGGAAUGAACUUCUGUUUUGUUUGUGAUGUUUUUCCUUAUGUUCCAAAUGGCCUACAACUGAAUUUCAUUGUGCAUUCCUGUUA